AGCGCAGGCGGUUUCUUAAGUCUGAUGUGAAAGCCUUCGGCUCAACCGAAGAAGUGCAUCGGAAACUGGGAAGCUUGAGUGCAGAAGAGGACAGUGGAACUCCAUGUGUAGCGGUGAAAUGCGUAGAUAUAUGGAAGAACACCAGUGGCGAAGGCGGCUGUCUGGUCUGUAACUGACGCUGAGGCUCGAAAGCAUGGGUAGCAAACA
rnacentral:rRNA from 1 species